GAAAAAAGUAAUAAAGUAGGGCAGGACAAGACAAUAGCAAGUGAGAAGAGAUACAAUUUUAGAUAAAAUGCGUCUCUAAGUAUUGAUAAAAAAAUAAAAAAAGCAGAGCCACCGAAUGAUUUGUAAUAAGAGGCCUUUAUAGGAUUGGACCCUGUGCAAUUGUGCAAGCUGGAGGAGAAGCCUAGACAAGACCUGUGGCUCUAGUGUCAGGACUAAAAUCACCAGAGGUCAGUUGGGAUAACCUGGACAUGGAGUGGGAGAGGACAAGGAUAGACUAGAAUCCCUGAGGACAAAGUGAGACCCAGGAGGACAAAGCAAGUUUCCUUACCCCCAACCUCAAUGAGGCAGAUGGCUUUCAGGAGAAGCUGAAGCUCCUCACUGUAGAACUGCAGAGUUACAAAGCCCAGGACCUGCAAGAACUAAAGCACCGGCAGUGUGGACACUGCCUCACCAAUGACAUCAGAGACAAUGUGCAAAACCUGCAGUAGCACCUGAGGUCUUACCCCAAUCUUCAGAGCAUUGAAAUGGCCUCUGCUUCCCUUCAGCCUUCCACACUUCACAUACAUUUCUAAUGUAUGUAACCACAGCCUGGAAGGAUACUGGGAAGAGAAUCUGGAAAAUAUAGCUCCUGAUUAUCUAAGGUGACACAGUGCACAGUCACCGUGCAGGGUAUCUUCCUUCCUGGGAAAUCUGAUAUGCAAGCAGAAACCUGGAUGAACAGAGAGUAAUUCAUUCUGAUGUCUGAGAGAAGAGAGCAGACAGAGGGUGAAGGCCUAAGAUGAGGCAUGCUGAUAAAGUAUCCAGGACAGGAAGGAGGCCAGUGUAGCGGCAGUAGGAUGAGUGGGAGAGAAAGAGGUCAUCAAAAAGGUGCCCCGGGGAUCAAUUAUUUGGAAACUUUGAUCAACAUCAAACUCCAGUUUCUGUGCAUAGAAGACAUCCAAUAAAUACAGUCCUGCUUCAGACCACAUUGUUUGGGACUGCAUGAUUUAUGUGAUGGAGCCUGAUACGACUCACCUUUCAAAGAUAAAGCGAAGA
rnacentral:lncRNA from 10 species